AUGAGCGGGCCUAGGGAAGCGCCGUCCUUGUCAGGGGUGAGCCACUUGCACACCGGUGCGGCGCCGUACCGGCGGGUGAUCAGGCCGUCCUUCCCUUGCUGCACUUCGCAUGACACGAUGUUGUACGACGCCAUCAGCCGCAGCAUGCGGUCCAGCAUAGCCGGGGCGCACGGGUUAGCCGACGGCAGCUGCACGGCCACCUCCCAUGGCGACAGCAUCUUCCCACCGGCGCCGACAAGGAUCUCUAGCAUGCCCAGCUCCACCACGCUCUUGAGUGUCAUUGGCACGAUAGCCGCCAAUGAGAGCUGCAACGCGUACAUGAAGGCCUCCCUGUCGUCGGCCAUUUCCUAA
rnacentral:rRNA from 1 species